GAUGAACGCUGGCGGCGUGCCUAAUACAUGCAAGUCGAGCGAACAGACGAGGAGCUUGCUCCUUCGACGUUAGCGGCGGACGGGUGAGUAGCACGUAGGUAACCUACCUAUAAGACUGGGAUAACUUCGGGAAACCGGAGCUAAUACCGGAUAAUAUUUCGAACCGCAUGGUUCGAUAGUGGAAGAUGGCUUUGCUAUCACUUAUAGAUGGACCUGCGCCGUAUUAGCUAGUUGGUAAGGUAACGGCUUACCAAGGCAACGAUACGUAGCCGACCUGAGAGGGUGAUCGGCCACACUGGAACUGAGACACGGUCCAGACUCCUACGGGAGGCAGCAGUAGGGAAUCUUCCGCAAUGGGCGAAAGCCUGACGGAGCAAAGCCGCGUGAGUGAUGAAGGUCUUCGGAUCGUAAAACUCUGUUAUUAGGGAAGAACAAACGUGUAAGUAACUGUGCACGUCUUGACGGUACCUAAUCAGAAAGCCACGGCUAACUACGUG
rnacentral:rRNA from 1 species